rnacentral:rRNA from 1 species
GGAGUAACGCGUGGGUAACCUGCCCUAUACACAUGGAUAACAUACUGAAAAGUUUACUAAUACAUGAUAAUAUAUAUUUACGGCAUCGUAGAUAUAUCAAAGUGUUAGCGGUAUAGGAUGGACCCGCGUCUGAUUAGCUAGUUGGUGAGAUAACUGCCCACCAAGGCGACGAUCAGUAGCCGACCUGAGAGGGUGAUCGGCCACAUUGGAACUGAGACACGGUCCAAACUCCUACGGGAGGCAGCAGGA